AGAGUUUGAUCCUGGCCUCAGGAUGAACGCUGGCGGCGCUGCCUAACACAUGCAAGUCGAGCGAUUCUCUUCGGAGAAGAGCGGCGGACGGGUGAGUAACGCGUGGGUAACCUGCCCUGUACACACGGAUAACAUACCGAAAGGUAUGCUAAUACGGGAUAAUGUACUUUUGUCGCAUGGCAAAAGUAUCAAAGCUCCGGCGGUACAGGAUGGACCCGCGUCUGAUUAGCUAGUUGGAGAGGUAAUCUCACCAAGGCAACGAUCAGUAGCCGACCUGAGAGGGUGAUCGGCCACAUUGGAACUGAGACACGGUCCAAACUCCUACGGGAGGCAGCAGUGGGGAAUAUUGCACAAUGGGCGAAAGCCUGAUGCAGCAACGCCGCGUGAGCGAUGAAGGCCUUCGGGCCGUAAAGCUCUGUCCUCAAGGAAGAUAAUGACGGUACUUGAGGAGGAAGCCCCGGCUAACUACGUGCCAGCAGCCGCGGUAAUACGUAGGGGGCUAGCGUUAUCCGGAAUUACUGGGCGUAAAGGGUGCGUAGGUGGUUUCUUAAGUCAGAGGUGAAAGGCUACGGCUCAACCGUAGUAAGCCUUUGAAACUGAGAAACUUGAGUGCAGGAGAGGAGAGUAGAAUUCCUAGUGUAGCGGUGAAAUGCGUAGAUAUUAGGAGGAAUACCAGUUGCGAAGGCGGCUCUCUGGACUGUAACUGACACUGAGGCACGAAAGCGUGGGGAGCAAACAGGAUUAGAUACCCUGGUAGUCCACGCCGUAAACGAUGAGUACUAGGUGUCGGGGGUUACCCCCCUCGGUGCCGCAGCUAACGCAUUAAGUACUCCGCCUGGGAAGUACGCUCGCAAGAGUGAACUCAAUGAAUUGACGGAAU
rnacentral:rRNA from 1 species